CACCGCCCGUCACCGCCAUGGGAGUUGGGUUCUACCCGGUAAGAUGGUGCGCUAACCGCAAGGAGGCGAGCCCAGCCACGGUAGGAUCAAUGACUGGGGCG
rnacentral:rRNA from 1 species